UCCUUCUCCUCUUCCCUUUUCCUCCCCAACGCCACACCCCUCCUCGCUGCAGCCUUGCCACAGCUAUCCUCCUCUCUUCUUCUUCUUCUUCUUCUUCUUCUUCCUCUUCACUUCUCCUCCCCAACGCCCCACACAUCCUCUCCUCUGUUUCCACCUGCUGGAAACAGAGGUGCAGCAGCCCUAGCUGCAGCUGCUGCCUCUCUCUCUCUCCUCUCCAUCUUCCCUCUCUUCUUCUUCUUCUUCUUCUUUUCUUCUCUUCUCCCUCUUCUUCCUCCUCUUCUUUUCCCUCUUCUUCUCUUCUCCCUCUACUUCUCUUCUUCUUCUUCCCCACGCCCCACCGCUCUCUCUGGUUCGAGCGUGGGAGGCGGUGGGAUAAAACCGAAAUUUUCGGUUUUCUUUAUUUUUUUUUCUUUUUGCAACUUAACAGUUUAGUCCUUAAAAUUUCUAUAUUUACAUAUAGGUCCUCCAAUUUACAUAUAAAUCCUUAUUAAUAAUUUUCAAAAGUGAGGGAUAUUAUAACAACCGACUGACUUUACGGUACACGCACUAGCCGACUACUCAAACCCGCAAACGAUGAAAGUUGGAGGCCUUCUCAAACAACAACCGAUCACUAUUCUCAUCGACACGAGCAGCACUAAUAACUUCCUAAAUAGUAAGAUUGCUGCUCGAAUGUCACUCCACAUCGAUGGUUGUGGCAAGUUUGACAUAAAGGUCACCGACAGAAGAAUCCUAAAGUGCGACCAAAGAUGUUCGCAGGUGAAACUAUUACUACAAGACCAAGAAAUUAUCACCAACUUCUUCCUCCUACCAAUUGAUGACUAUGAGGCCAUGCUUAGCAUAGAAUGACUGAUGAUGCUAGGUGAUGUCUCUUGGAACUUCUCCAAAUUAAUUAUGAAAUUCUACUACAAAGGCAAAUAAAUCAUCCUACGCGAGAAGCGCGGAAGCAACGUAACCACUGUUUCGACCCAACCAAUGGAGAAAGUUUUACACAAAGUAAAUGGUGGCUUUUUGAUGCAUCUCCAAUAGCAACCAGAGGGGAAGAAAAUAGAAAUUGAAGAUCAAAAUCUCUCCCAAUUGCUUGUUGAAUUUGCUGACAUUUUUGUUGAGCCACGUGGUCUUCCUCCUACUCGGCAACAUGACCAUUAGAUUCCAAUCCUUCUGGGCAAGCUACUAGUGAACACUCAGCCAUACUAAUAUCCUCACCUCCAAAAGGAUGAAAUUGAAAAGAUCAUAAAGGAGAUACUUGAAACAGGAGUGAUUCGGUCAAGUUACAGCCCCUAUUCCUCACCGGUGCUACUUGUACGCAAGAAGGAUAGAACUUGGCAGAUGUGCAUCGACUACCGAGCUUUAAACGACAUCACCAUCAAGGACAAGUACCCAAUACCAGUGGUUGAUGAACUUCUUGAUGAGUUAAAAGGAGCUCAAGUCUUCACAAAGUUGGACCUCCGAUCCAGUUACCACCAAAUUCGGGUAUGUGAAGACAACAUUCCAAAAACUGCAUUCCACACACAUAACGGCCAUUAUAAAUUCUUCGUAAUGGCUUUUGGACUCACUAAUGCUCCUUCAACCUUCCAAAGUCUCAUGAACGAUAUUUUUCGGAGCUUUCUUCAUAAAUUUGUGCUGGUAUUUUUUUAUGAUAAUCUCAUUUAUAGCCCUUCUCUUGAGACUUACGUUCAACAUUUUUAGAUUGUUUUGACGAUCCUUCGAAAGAAUACUCUUUUUGUUAAGCAGCUAAAGUGUAGUUUUUUUUAGCAAAAAGUAGGGUACCUUGGGUACAUAAUAUCAGAAGAAGUGGCGGUAGACCCAACAAAAAUUGAAGCAAUGUAAGGCUGGCCAAAACCUGCAAACGUGAAAUUACUGUGCAGGUUCCCUGGACUAAUGUGUUACUACUGAAAAUUUGUUAAGGACUAUAGGAAGAUUAGCACACCCCUCACUUCUCUACUGAAAAAGAUGUCUUCCAAUGGUCAGACAAAGCCUCAGCUACCUUUGAUAAAUUUAAGGCAGCUAUGAUUACAACGCUCGUACUAAUGCUACCCGACUUCUGCAAGACUUUUGUUAUUGAAGCCGAUGCCUCCGGAGUUGGAAUUGCUGAUGUGCUAAUACAAGAUGGCCACCCCCUCACUUAUAUCAAUAAGACUAUUUACGAUAAUGAGAUGCUCGCGAUUGUGCAUGCGGUGGCUAAGUGGAGACCAUACAUAAUCAGGCGACGCUUUCAAAUCAAGACCGGCCUAAAAUAUUUCUUAGAGCAGAGGAUAUCUUCCCUCGAGCAGCAAAAAUAGGUAACAAAGCUUCUUAGAUAUAAAUAUGAAAUAAUUUACAAAAAGGGGAAAGAGAAUAUUGUUACAAAUGUGCUUUUGCGACUGUCCGAGCAAGCUGAAUUUUUGGUCAUUUCACUUCCGACCAAUGACUUCCUUCAGGAUAUUAAGAGGGAAUGACAGAAAGACUAGAGACCAGUAAAAUCAUAAAAAAAUUAUAGGAAGCACCAAGCUCUAUGGCUCAUUAUAGUUGGGACUUAAAAGGUUGCACUAUAAGAGAUGCAUUGUGCUUGUGUCAAAUUCUACUUAAAUCUUCACAAGCAGAUUUUAGAUAGAGUUAUUCCAGAUGCAGGACACUAAAUUGAAAAGGAGUACGAUAUAUCACCCACAAACCGACGGCCAAAUGGAAGUGGUGAACAGAUGCUUAGAGACUGUCCAAAGUCAUCCACCAAAUAUGACUACCCAAGGGGAACUCUAGACCCAGCCGAGUGCUAUUAUUGAUGGAUAGAUCGGGACUCAAUGAUGACGACCGACUACUAAAGUGCUA
rnacentral:lncRNA from 1 species